AGUGACGUUAAUAAAAAAGGCCACAGCUUCGAACCAAUGGCUCAAUACUAGUUCGACCGGACUUUGGUAUAACGCUACGUUCGUUGGAUUAUGCCUGAACGCCUCUAAGGUCGUAACCAA
rnacentral:ncRNA from 2 species